rnacentral:rRNA from 1 species
GUGCAGCAGGCGCGAAACCUCCGCAAUACACGAAAGUGUGACGGGGCCAUCCCGAGUGCCGUCCGCUGAGGACGGCUUUUUCCCCCAGUGUACACAGCUGGGGGGAAUAAGGAGAGGGCAAGCCUGGUGUCAGCCGCCGCGGUAAUACCAGCUCUCCGAGUGGUGGGGACGCUUAUUGGGCCUAAAGCAUCCGUAGCCGGCUGGGCAAGUCCUCCGUUAAAAUCCAACGAUUCAAUCGUUGGGCUGCGGGGGAUACUGUCCAGCUUGGGGCGGGAGAGGCCGACGGUAUUCCCGGGGUAGGGGUGAAAUCCUAUAAUCCCGGGAGGACCACCAGUGGCGAAGGCUGUCGGCUAGAACGACGCCCGACGGUGAGGGAUGAAAGCUGGGGGAGCGAACCGGAUUAGAUA